rnacentral:precursor_RNA from 14 species
CCUAAGAAAAGAAAAUGAAAGGUCACAAUCAACAUUCAUUGCUGUCGGUGGGUUGAGUUAAGAACACAAGCUCGCUGAACGAUGAAUGCAACUGUGUCCCCAAUACAUGCAAACAAGAAAA